rnacentral:lncRNA from 1 species
AAAUCACGAAGCAAAUCACGCAUCGGAGUAAUCGGCAACAACGGAUUGGUGCUCACGGUGAGGACGCCGGGCGGGGAGUGGGUGAAGAGGAUGGACGCGCCCGGAGGGAAGCUGUGGGGCUUGAAGGCCUCCUUGAACUUGUCCGCGGCCGCGCCCUCGGCGUCCGUGUACACGCCGGCGGCCUUCCACGCCGCGACGCAGUUCUCCGUCACCUUGUCCGAGUACUGCUCGCCGGUGAGCGGCAGGAUCAUCGUCACCCUCGUGAACUUCUCGAAAUCGCCUGCAACGCGAGACGACGCCCAUGUCAUGUCGCGCCGCCCGUCGACACGAGCAACAAAUUUAGCGAGAUGAGUUACCGGUGACGACGUCGCGGAAGAAGGCGGCGUCGGCGGCGAGCUCGUCGGCGGACUUGCCGGCCCACUUCUUGGCCAGCGCCGGCACGGCCGCGCCCUCCUCCAGGUACACGCCGAUGGCCGUGAACUUGAUGAAGUUGCCGGC